CACAACACUUCUAUUGCACAGUGGUUUCUGUAGUAGCUUUGGGGGUUUGGGGCAACUAAAUGAUGAUAAAAUAGACAUACUGAUGCAUGCAAGUGUUCAGUCUCAGUAAGAUGAUGAUGAUCUGUUAAGGUGAUGUUGGAAACGUUAACAUUCAUCCCUACAUAACACAUUAGAGUUCCAGUUCAGAACCAGUAACUUGAUUUUAGGUGCUCUCAGCAGGGAGUUAACAUCCCAUAGAGUGCUGCCCCUCCAUAUUUUGGAGACUGUCCCUUUUUCGAGAUGCAAGGUGAUGCCAGCAGGGGACAGUGGGUGUUCCUGGGGGAGGGAAAAGAUGCUGAGGGCUGACGAGUGACUUGCAGAUCCCAAACUGGAAUGCUGAAGGCUCCCUGAGACUCGCAGCAGGGCCUGGGCUGCUUUGGAUCAGGCACAAGCAGGAUGUAGAGUGCAUGGUCAGGUUAGAUAAACUUUCUCUGUGGGACAUACUUUGAACUCUGGGAGGCAGAAUUUCUGUUGCAGGCAAACCGCAUACAUAGUGAAUAAUCAUGACUGUGUCCAGAAAUGAAAGAGCCAAGUGUGGCUUUCCCUUCAUGGUGAAUCCUGUCAGUUAGAGCAGGUCCCCAGCCUGCACGAGUGUUCUUUGUCAUAAAAGAAAUGCUGAUGGGUAAUAGAUUAAGCAAUGGUAACUUCUCACUAUGUGGCACAAAUGUGACUUUCCUAACCAGGCUCUGUUAGCUCCAGUCUAUUUAAAGCUGUGUGUUCAGGUGUCAGUUCUGGUAAGCAUACAAUGGGUUUAGGACCUCCUCACAGAAACACAGGCAGAAGGAUGUAGUUUUCCUCAGAAGCAGCAAUAUUUUUAGCCUGUCUUUAUAUUUUUACCUUGUAGAAUGUAAUAAAAGCCAAAUCCUGCUACUUUGCACCUUCAUUUAAUUCAUAUUGUUGCUUUCCACAUGGGUAAUACUUUGGAUUAUUAUAUACUUUUUUUAUAAUGCCUUUCAUCCAGAGAUCUCAAGCUGAUUUGGCCUGAUUCCCAGGUACAGCUUAGCAACACUUAGCAUAAGACCAGUAAAAGGAAGUAAGAGGGAGUUUCAGGCACUUCUUGGCUGGCUGUCAAUUCAAAUGCACCUACAGGUUGGAGCAUCCCCGGCCCCUGAGCCCCCGCUUCCUGUGCCUGUGGCUGCUGGGUGUGAGGUUGUCGCAGUCAGAAAGCCCUCUCCUUUUCCUUUCUCCUGCCCCCCAAACAAGCUGGUCUCUCCCAGCAUUUAUAAGAGAGAGGGGACGUGACUUUAUAUGGGGAGAACUUGGUGGGAUGUGUAGGGGGGACCCACCCCAUUAAUCUGCUGUUAUUUUGUUGUCUUAUCACAAAGAUGCACUAAGUCAAAGCCACUUUCAGUUCUGUAUUUCCCUGCAUGUGUAUAGGCAUGUGCAGUGUUAACUUCUUUUCCUCAUCUUUGCAUUUAGAGUAACUCAGUUCUGUUUGCUGUAUUUACUGAGGUGGUUUCAGUUUCUUUUUCAGUUGCCAGAAUGUUUUUAAAGCUUUUAUUCUGAAUGUUGUUUCUUCUUUGGAGAGGCUGUUGGACUUUGGAACCAGCUCUUAUAGGAAAAGCCUUGCCUGUCUGGAAAUCUGCUCCAGCUUGGUUUGCUGUUCAAAGUGCUGCUUCCGAGGUUCAUUUUUAUGUCUCCUUGGAGCCUGGGUAAAGAAACUGAGGUGCACAUCUCCAUGGGAGACUUACACAAACUCCAAUGGCCCUCAGUGAUGUUGGAUUUGCACCUCAGCUCCUGCUUCUGCCCUCCAGGCUGCCAAUGCAGCCUCCUGAAAGGCACCAGAAAGGCAAGUUUUGGCUCAGGCUCCCAAACUCUUGCUUGUCUUUUGUGGAAUGACUGCAAGUGAAAGGGGCAGGGAUCUUUAAGGGCUGAGUCACGAUUUUGUGGAAGUUUGUCGUGUAGUUACAAAAUCACACACACAAAAAGAAAGUGCUGCUGAGCAAUAGCCUGGAAAACCCUGCUUUGCUUUUAUUCCUUCAUUUCAGAAGGGGCUGUGUGACACUGGCAGCCUUUUCUGCUGUCUGGCUUAAGAGCAGCUGGGGGCUGGUGGGUGAGAAUAUUUAGCCCUGAUGCAGCACGCUAUCAAAGGACUUGAAUUUGCUCAGCUUCUGCCAUCUUCAAUGUAACUCUGUAUUCUCACUCUGCCAUAGAGAGCACUCGCCCUAUCUGCAUUCAUGGACAUUAGCAACCAUGGGGUCUGUUAGUUUCAGGAAUAAAGGAAGUCUCAUUAAACCUAACAAAUGUCUUGCACUGUGCCCAGAAGAACUACUAGACUUCAGCUCUGGUGGUGUCCAGCAGGAGCAGGCUGCAAAAGCCAAAAUCCUCAACAGAGAAAGAGGGAGAGUAUGCGAAUCUUGCCUGCUGCUGCCCUUGGAAAGGUCAGCCUCCGAAACAGGAAACAAGAGAAUUUCAUCUUGACCUUUAAAUACUGUGUUUGGAUGAGAAAUGGCUUUUAGGUAUCUGGCAGUCUGGAAUAAUAAAAUAACAACUAUAUGGUGAGGGUAUGAGCUUCUAAUUGUUCAGCAUUUCAUAGAGCCUGAUUGAGGACGGUGUAGGACGCGGGGCCUUCAGGUUGCCAGUUGGAAUUGGCUGAGGUCAGCUGGAGUUAGAAGUUAGCCUCUGAUCUCAUCUGGUUGCUGUGAGGGAAAUGCAUAGGUGGCCUCAUCAAGCUGUCAGCACUGGGACCUAGCUGAAUUAGCUGGCAUCUUCUACCAGUAGUGUAGUUUCCAUUCAGUCCCUAGCAAAUCUAUUCCUACCCAGGAGUUCUCUUCCUAACAUGCAGCAGUGUUUGUAUCCGGCAUCUGCAUUUUUGUCUUGCUUUAUAGAGAUUUGAGUCCUGUUUCUUUCAGUCUGGUGCCACUCCUAUGCACUAAUCACUUGUGUAAAAGUAUUUAUCCGUUUAUCCACCCUGGCAUCUCUGCUAUGAUGGUUAAAAUUCAGCAGCCCUGAUCACAGUUGUACUUGCACAUACGCAGCUUAUGGAGGGGGCCUGGAAUCUCCGAGUUUGACAAUGUUUGUUUUCAAAAUGAGCUGCUCUUCAUCUAUGAAUUUAUCCACUUUUGGUUCACUAAAAAUAAUUUGCUUGUGUUGCAUGAAAAAUAUUUGCAGAACCUGGGAUUUUUUUGAAAUACCAUCUUCUAAAGCUAACAUUGAGACUUGCCACUGUCCUGUAUUCGGAUGUUGGGGUUUCUUGGUGACAACAGGGACAAGUACACCCCUGAAUUAAAUGAAUCCACAUCUGAUCAUUUAAUCCAGAUGGAUCACGAUAUCUUUAGAAUAUUUGUAUUUCAAAAUGCUUUGGAUUUUAGAAUUAAUUGUGGUGGUGUGGAACAACAGCAUUUCCCAAGUGCUUCACAGAGUGAAAACUCCUUGCCUGUUGCUCAAACAAACACUAAAAUAACAUGUGGAAAAAGCCUUUGGGUCUAAAAGCGUUGGAAAAUAUUAUCAGUUUCUUAAUUAUUGUUUUAAGCUGAGAUUCACAUUGUCAGUGCUGCUUUUGUGUGUGUUGGAUUCGGUCCUGGAAGCAAACAAGCAUUCAGGAGCAGACAUGGAGCUGAGUGUUUCCUCGGUCUCACUGCAUUUACCCAGCCAGGAGCAUGCAGGGGCCCGUCCCAGCACUGCCUCAUCACAGCUCAGCCCUCCCGUUUCCCCUCGGAGCUGGACACCAAGAUCCUGUCUUUCAAAUGGAGACUUUCAUUAUCCUUACCUGAGUGGUAGGGUAAAGAAAGGGUUUUUACUUCUCAGACAUGUGAAAAAUGGUGGAGAUGUGUGAAAGGAAAGCCCUUACAGUGAAACUGGAAGUUGUCCAGAUAUCAGUACAUUAAACUGUUCAGAGAACCAGCUUGUCACCAGGAGAGAGACUCUCCUGUUGGAGGUAAGGAAAUCUCCAUCUACUCCAUCUCAGUAACACCAUGCUGCCGUUAGCGUUUGUUGUUGCCCUUCUGAACCUCCCGUUGCUCCGCACUUUUUUUGUUGGCUAAAGCAUGCAAUGGGCUCUAUGCCAGUGCCUGAGUUCAAAGCACAGCCCUAUGUUUUCCCAGUCUUCUUGCGUUGUAACUCAAUGGCUUUCUAAUCCAUUCCCUCCUGCUUCCAGACAGGUGAGACACUGCUUUAAGGC